UACAGAGGGUGCAAGCGUUAAUCGGAGUUACUGGGCGUAAAGGGCGCGUAGGCGGUUAUAUAAGUGAGAUGUGAAAUCCCUGGGCUUAACCUAGGAACUGCAUCUUAUACUGUAUAGCUGGAGUAUUGUAGAGGGUAGUGGAAUUUCCGGUGUAGCGGUGAAAUGCGUAGAGAUCGGAAGGAACACCAGUGGCGAAGGCGGCUACCUGGACAAAUACUGACGCUGAGGCGCGAAAGCGUGGGGAGCAAACAGG
rnacentral:rRNA from 1 species